rnacentral:lncRNA from 1 species
UGUAACAUAAUGUAGAAUGGCAUAACACUUGAAAACAGUCUGUAACUGUAACACAAUGUAGAAUGGCAUAUUACUUGAAACCAGUCUGUAACUGUAACAAUGUAGAAUAGCAUAACACUUGAAAACAGUCUGUAACUGUAACACAAUGUAGAAUGGCAUAACACUUGAAAACAGUCUGUAACUGUUACAAUGUAUAAUGGCAUAACACUUGAAAACAGUCUGUAACUGUAACAAUAUAGAAUGGCAUAACACUUGAAAACAAUCCAAGUGAUUGUCAUGACAGAACUGGAGGGAAGUGUUCAGAUGCUUAAUGUUUCAUCAGGACCAUAAAUUCACUUAGUACGAACCCACAGGGUAUAGUGAAUAUAGAGAAGAGCCUAGGGCCUGAAAAAAGAUACUGUUAUGACCUAGAGGCAUGAGAAUGACAAUGAGUGUGGCGGUGUGUGUUGGCCUACAGAUGAGAUGGGGCUGUGUUUGUUGGCCUACUGAUGAGGAGAUGGGGCGGUGUGUGUUGGCCUACUGAUGAGGUGGAGCUGUGUGUGUGUUGGCCUACUGAUGAGGAGAUGGGGCGGUGUGUGUUGGCCUACAGAUGAGGAGGUGGAGCUGUGUGUGUUGGCCUACUGAUGAGGAGGUGGAGCUGUGUGUGUUGGCCUACAGAUGAGGAGGUGUGUGUUGCUCUACAGAUUAGAUGGGGCUGUGUUUGUUGGCCUACUGAUGAGGAGGUGGAGCUGUGUGUGUUGGCCUACUGAUGAGGAGGUGGAGCUGUGUGUGUUGGCCUACAGAUGAGGAGGUGUGUGUUGGCCUACUGAUGAGGAGAUGGGGCUGUGUGUGUUGGCCUACAGAUGAGGAGGUGGAGCUGUGUGUGUUGGCCUACAGAUGAGAUGGGGUUGUGUUUGUUGGCCUACUGAUGAGGAGGUGGGGCGGUGUGUGUUGGCCUACUGAUGAGGAGAUGGGGCGGUGUGUUGGCCUACAGAUGAGAUGGGGCGGUGUGUGUUGGCCUACUGAUGAGGAGGUGUGUGUUGGCCUACUGAUGAGGAGGUGGAGCUGUGUGUGUUGGCCUACUGAUGAGGAGGUGGAGCUGUGUGUGUUGGCCUACUGAUGAGGAGGUGGAGCUGUGUGUGUUGGCCUACUGAUGAGGAGGUGGAGCUGUGUGUGUUGGCCUACUGAUGAGGAGGUAGAGCUGUGUGUGUUGGCCUACUGAUGAGGAGGUGGAGCUGUGUGUGUUGGCCUACUGAUGAGGAGGUGGAGCUGUGUGUGUUGGCCUACAGAUGAGAUGGGGCUGUGUUUGUUGGCCUACUGAUGAGGAGGUGGAGCUGUGUGUGUUGGCCUACAGAUGAGAUGGGGCUGUGUUUGUUGGCCUACUGAUGAGGAGGUGGGGCUGUGUGUGUUGGCCUACAGAUGAGGUGUGCGUUGGCCUACAGAUGAGGAGGUGGAUCAGUGUGUGUUGGCCUACUGAUGAGGAGGUUUGUGUUGGCCUACAGAUGAGGAGGUGUGUGUUGGCCUACUGAUGAGGAGGUGUGUGUUGGCCUACUGAUGAGGAGGUGUGUGUUGGCCUACAGAUGAGGAGGUGGAUCAGUGUGUGUUGGCCUACAGAUGAGGAGGUGUGUGUUGGCCUACUGAUGAGGAGGUGUGUGUUGGCCUACAGAUGAGGAGGUGGAUCAGUGUGUGUUGGCCUACAGAUGAGGAGGUGUGUGUUGGCCUACAGAUGAGGAGGUGUUGCUGUGUGUGCAGUAAUAAAUUAUGACAAGGGGCAGGCAGCACGAUCACACUAUAUUUACACUUCACAUUCAUUACGCUGUAAACGCUAGCAUUUCAGUUCAUGAUCUAUUUAUGUUGAGAUACUCAAGCUCCUAAGCAGUGGGAUCCACUGGAAAAAACGUUGACCACGGUAAAAAAAGAGAAAUGGCAAGCUAAACAUGAAAAGAGCAGAUACAGUAACUAUGAAAAAAAGCUGUCUCAUCACUGGACUCCCAAAAGGACUUCCCAGGCCAAAGUACAAUAUGUGGCAGGCCUUUGAACUGAACAGGACCUUAGUGUUGUUUUCAGCUCAGUGUUAUUAGCACCCCCCCCGACCCAAAUACAAGGAAAAUGAAUGAUGUCUGAGGUUUAGAGAUACAUUAAAAAGUAGAGGACACCAACCCUAUCUGAACCCAUGUUUUUGUUUUCUUAAAAACCGUGAUAAAAAGAAAAUGCAUUUGGUUUCAUAGGCUAUAUAUAAAGCAUGUACACAUCAUUUAUUUACAAAUACUCUUUAUUUGCAUUUUGCUAGCAGUAUCUUGUCU